rnacentral:lncRNA from 1 species
UUGAGAGGAUGCUUGUUCAAGGAUGUAAAAAACGGACUGGUGGACUCUUUACUGAAUUUACUGCGGUGUGACAGUUGCUGCUCUGACUCAAAAGAAGAGGAAAGCCUCACGAACUCGAUGCCAUCUGCACUGGGCUGAAUCCAAGCAAGCAAACAGCCAGCCAGGAGGCUGAACGCAGGAGCAGUGGGUUGCAGGCCGAGAAACAUCUGGUCCCUGGAGUCGCCAAGGCAAUUCCAGAAAAUGAUGAGCCAGUGGACCUUCGGAGAACACAUGAAAAAAAGAAAGUUUAAUAUUUUCUCCUGCCGGCUGACCUUCCCUACUGUGGCUCUCUCUCACAAGAGGAUAUAAGGCAUAGCCUGUAAUAAAAUAGGUGCUAUGGGCUGUUUGUGUCCCAGCAAAAUUCGUGUGUUGGAAUCUAAUCCCCAGUGUAAUGAUAUUUGGAGGUGGGGCCUUUGGUGAUUAGGUUAUAAGCGCAGAGCCUUCAUGAAUGGGGUUAGUGCUCUCAUAAAAGAGACCCUAGAGAGACCCUGGCCUCUUCUCCCUUGAGAAUGCGGCCACGUGAGGACCAGGAAGCAGGUGCUCAUCAGACCCUCUGCCUGCCAGCACCUUGAACGUGGACCUUCCAGCCUCCAGGACUGAGAGAAGUAAAGGUCUGCUACUUCAGUCACCCGGCCUAUGGUAUUUGGUUACAACAACCCGAACAGACACCAGUAAUUAGGGCCGGAAAGUUCUCCAGUAGACAGUGUGUUACUUGAGAACAGGAACUGGCACAACACGUGACACGGAGUUACCGUCCAGUUUAAUAAAUGAGCUGACCUGCUAAUUCUGGACCAACCAGGGACAGGACUGGGGACUGACUCCCACCUAGAGUAGACCCAGAGAUUACAGACAGCUCUGGGUCUUCCCUUCCUCCAAGCCAGGGAAUUUUAGCAGCUGAUUCAGAGACCGAGUCCCAAAGUAGGUGGCUGGACAGGGAUGGGAAGUGUGGGAUCGCAGUCUGUGUUUUGCCAUCAGAUAAAAUUAACAGUCGUGCCAGCAGGUCAAGGAGUAAUUCACUCCCAUUUGUGCCGACAGCAGAGGUACAGGGAAUACGGAAAAAGAGCAAGCAAAGCACCCGGCAUCUUUGGAGCAGUCGCUGAAGGCUCCUCGUGUGGGAUGCAGACAUUAAUUAAGGAGAAGAUACUUCAUCUUUUUUAA